AGAGUUUGAUCCUGGCUCAGGAUGAACGCUGGCGGCGUGCCUAAUACAUGCAAGUCGAGCGAACAGAUAAGGAGCUUGCUCCUUUGAAGUUAGCGGCGGACGGGUGAGUAACACGUGGGUAACCUACCUAUAAGACUGGGAUAACUUCGGGAAACCGGAGCUAAUACCGGAUAACAUUUAGAACCGCAUGGUUCUAAAGUGAAAGAUGGUUUUGCUAUCACUUAUAGAUGGACCCGCGCCGUAUUAGCUAGUUGGUAAGGUAACGGCUUACCAAGGCGACGAUACGUAGCCGACCUGAGAGGGUGAUCGGCCACACUGGAACUGAGGCACGGUCCAGACUCCUACGGGAGGCAGCAGUAGGGAAUCUUCCGCAAUGGGCGAAAGCCUGACGGAGCAACGCCGCGUGAGUGAUGAAGGGUUUCGGCUCGUAAAACUCUGUUAUUAGGGAAGAACAAAUGUGUAAGUAACUGUGCACAUCUUGACGGUACCUAAUCAGAAAGCCACGGCUAACUACGUG
rnacentral:rRNA from 1 species